rnacentral:rRNA from 1 species
AUUGAACGCUGGCGGCAGGCCUAACACAUGCAAGUCGAGCGGAUGACGGGAGCUUGCUCCUUGAUUCAGCGGCGGACGGGUGAGUAAUGCCUAGGAAUCUGCCUGGUAGUGGGGGACAACGUUUCGAAAGGAACGCUAAUACCGCAUACGUCCUACGGGAGAAAGCAGGGGACCUUCGGGCCUUGCGCUAUCAGAUGAGCCUAGGUCGUAUUAGCUUGUUGGUGAGGUAAUGGCUCACCAAGGCGACGAUCCGUAACUGGUCUGAGAGGAUGAUCAGUCACACUGGAACUGAGACACGGUCCAGACUCCUACGGGAGGCAGCAGUGGGGAAUAUUGGACAAUGGGCGAAAGCCUGAUCCAGCCAUGCCGCGUGUGUGAAGAAGGUCUUCGGAUUGUAAAGCACUUUAAGUUGGGAGGAAGGGCAGUAAGUUAAUACCUUGCUGUUUUGACGUUACCGACAGAAUAAGCACCGGCUAACUCUGUG